GUCGAGCGGAUGAGAAGACUUGCUCUUCGAUUCAGCGGCGGACGGGUGAGUAAUGCCUAGGAAUCUGCCUGGUAGUGGGGGACAACGUUUCGAAAGGAACGCUAAUACCGCAUACGUCCUACGGGAGAAAGCAGGGGACCUUCGGGCCUUGCGCUAUCAGAUGAGCCUAGGUCGGAUUAGCUAGUUGGUGAGGUAAUGGCUCACCAAGGCGACGAUCCGUAACUGGUCUGAGAGGAUGAUCAGUCACACUGGAACUGAGACACGGUCCAGACUCCUACGGGAGGCAGCAGUGGGGAAUAUUGGACAAUGGGCGAAAGCCUGAUCCAGCCAUGCCGCGUGUGUGAAGAAGGUCUUCGGAUUGUAAAGCACUUUAAGUUGGGAGGAAGGGCAUUAACCUAAUACGUAAGUGUUUUGACGUUACCGACAGAAUAAGCACCGGCGAACUCUGUGCCAGCAGCCGCGGUAAUACAGAGGGUGCAAGCGUUAAUCGGAAUAACAGGGCGUAAAGCGCGCGUAGGUGGUUUGUAAAGUAGGAUGUGAAAGC
rnacentral:rRNA from 1 species